rnacentral:lncRNA from 1 species
GUCACCGAUUCCGCCUUUUCAUGCGGAUGUGGCUUUGCAGUUUCUUCCAGCACUUCUUCCGCUUCCUCGGACUCGGGUGUAAAGUUAUUUCGCGGACCAGAGGAGUGGGGCUGAGGCAGGAUUUCGUGGAUCUGAAAUAACCACACGUGAUCACAAAGCCUAGCUAUACAGGCGGGUUUGAACGAGCAGUAUCCGGCCUUCACUCCAGCAUGGCUAUGACUCAAGGUUGACAGGAGCGCAAUUACAAAAUCUGGAGGUAGUUUUGCCUCGGCCCCAGGUAACUCUGGGAAUUGAAGUCCAUAAUGGUCAGGUCCUGUCUCAUCUGUCCUAUUUUGAUGUUGCUUUUAAACUUUAGUUUGAUACAGGGCUGAUGUUCCAACUGUAGUGGAGACAUGACAUCUGGCCCUACCAAUAGGGGAAUGAGCUCUGUCCUUGAACACCAAGAAGCCCUGAAUCUAGUUUAGGUGGACUCUACCCUCUUUUCAUUAUAGAUGAAUACCUGUGGUAUAACAACCAUGAGACCGCGUUUUCCAGUGUAAACAAUUCAGAAAAUACGUACUUGGUUAAGCGAUAAUGCAAACAAGCCAGAUUGUCCCUGGAAAUACAUUCGGCUGGGACUCGUGAAAUUAACGUGCUGUGUAUACCCACAGGAAUCUGAAUAAGGGGAACUAACUAGGGGAUAUAUCUUGGUGCUGUUAAAAGGUAUCCUUCCCCUGGAAAUCCCCCCAAGGUGAGUUUAGGUUGGUCCCAUUUACAGCUAGUAGAGUUGGAGAUAGAGAUUAUUGUUUGAUUAGUUGCAGUUUCUAAUUAAUAUCGGUCUUGGUGUCAUGGCAUAGCCAGGAGUCCUGACCUACAGUGGGUUAAGAAUGGUUAGGGAACUGACAUACUCUUUUCAUAUCCUGAACACUGAGAUGCUGGCUUCCACUGCCUUCUGGACCUUUAUCUAUGAAGUUACUAAAGGGAAUUCCUGGGGGAAAUUGGAGUUGGGAGCUUGCCAUCCUAGGGGGCUUGUAACCUGACCCCCCGGGGUUUUGGUCUUUGCCAUGCCCUGAUCUUUAUAUCACAGGUAGUGAUGGUUCUUAUUUUAGGACUAUGAAGGGAUCCGUGUAACCCGGAGAGGACUCAGUUUUGCUAUCCAACCAAGAACAAUGGCUUUCGGGGAAGGGGCAUCAACUGCAGCCAUAGUGCUGGACCCAGGGAUGCGCUUCUCCCCAGGAGCAAGUGAGCCAUGCCCCAGUAGUCUCUGGUUGUAGCACUUUACAGAAAUCUACCUGGAAGGUAGUUUGGGUUUCAGUGGAUAGAUUGGUUAAGAGCUCCCUGGUUCUGGUUUUUUACAUUUUUAUACCCAGUGCCCUGACGUAUGGGGACUUGGGAGCCUUUCCAAAAGGAGAGAAAAAGACAAAAUAGGACAACUAUGAUUCUAGGGCCCUUGUCAGUCUUUAGGGGUUUGGAGGACCUAGUGACAACUCAUUUGUCAUUAUUUUCUGUAGCCUCCUUCAGCUGGAUAUGGUGCAUUCAUGGGGUGACCUUCAUUGCUGUUCCAGUCCAGAUCCUCUUUACCCAUAUGAGGUCACCAGGCUGGAACUUGCAGGCAGGCUCAGACAGGAGACAAAGAUACAGCCUCUCCAAUGAUCUGAUGAGUCUUGCAGGGCCUGUAAGGACUUGAGAAGGCAAUGGUUAGUAAUUUCUGACUGGUGCAUCUGGCCCUCGGGAGGGCAAAAUGUAGAAAGCUGGCCCAAUUUUUUGCCAUUAUUAAAGCCGUAUUUUAAGA